AAAAAAAAUAAAAAAAAGUGGAUUUUUUAUUUUAUUUAUAUAGUUACAUUUAGUAAAUUACCCAGAAACACUUGAGUCAUACACAGGCAUUACCAAGAACUACAGUGAGGUACUCUAACCUCUCACCUGUGUGAACCAACAGUCAACACACACAUAUCCAUCCACUAACACCACAUCAUUGACCUCUUGGACUAGAUCACAGUGGAUCACAUUUACAUGAUAAUGGAGGAGAUGAAGCACCAGAUUCCAGUUGUGGAGGAGGAGUGAAACCAGGAAGUGAGAUGGUUUUUAUAUCAAUGACCAACAGAUCGUUCUCCAUGAUAAUGGCUGUGCCUUUAGAGAGGGAAAUUAAAAGAAAUUCUUCCAGUCAGAGAGGUUUUAACGUCCGAACGGGAUCGGCGAUCCCGUCAGAGAGGUUAACGUCCGACCGGGAUCGGGGAUCCCGUCAGAGAGGUUAACGUCCGACCGGGAUCGGGGAUCCCGUCAGAGAGGUUAACGUCCGACCGGGAUCGGGGAUCCAGUCAGAGAGGUUAACGUCCCACCAGAUCAGAGCUCUGGACAGCUGUAAGGACACACACUUCCUUCAUGAAAACAACAUUUAA